rnacentral:rRNA from 1 species
GAUCAUACCAGCACUA